UUAUUGGAGAGUUUGAUCCUGGCUCAGGACGAACGCUGGCGGCGUGCCUAAUACAUGCAAGUCGAGCGAAUCUGAGGGAGCUUGCUCCCGAAGAUUAGCGGCGGACGGGUGAGUAACACGUGGGUAACCUGCCUGUAAGAUUGGGAUAACUCCGGGAAACCGGAGCUAAUACCGGAUAACAUUUUGAACCGCAUGGUUCGAAAUUGAAAGAUGGCGUCUGGCUAUCACUUACAGAUGGACCCGCGGCGCAUUAGCUAGUUGGUGAGGUAACGGCUCACCAAGGCGACGAUGCGUAGCCGACCUGAGAGGGUGAUC
rnacentral:rRNA from 1 species